rnacentral:rRNA from 1 species
GACGAACGCUGGCGGCGUGCCUAAUACAUGCAAGUCGAACGAGUGGCGGACGGGUGAGUAACACGUGGGAACCUACCCAUCAGAGGGGGAUAACUACUGGAAACGGUGGCUAAUACCGCAUACUAUCGGAUGAACCCAUAUGGGCUUAGCUAGUAGGUGGGGUAAGGGCUCACCUAGGCGACGAUGUCUAGCUGGUCUGAGAGGAUGAUCAGCCACACUGGGACUGAGACACGGCCCAGACUCCUACGGGAGGCAGCAGUGGGGAAUAUUGCACAAUGGGCGAAAGCCUGAUGCAGCAAUGCCGCGUGUAUGAAGAAGGCCUUAGGGUUGUAAAGUACUGUCAGCGGGGAGGCGGUACCCGCAGAAGAAGCACCGGCUAACUCCGUGCCAGCAGCCGCGGUAAUUC